rnacentral:rRNA from 1 species
AGCGGCAGGCUUAACACAUGCAAGUCGAGGGGCAGCACGGGUAGCAAUACCUGGUGGCGACCGGCGCAAGGGUGCGUAACGCGUGAGCAACAUGCCCUAUACAGGGGGAUAAUCCAGGGAAACUUGGUCUAAUAUCCCAUAGUAUUUAGAGGAGGCAUCUUCUAUAAAUUAAAGCUUCGGUGGUAUAGGAUUGGCUCGCGUGACAUUAGCUAGAUGGUGAGGUAACGGCUCACCAUGGCAAUGAUGUCUAGGGGUUCUGAGAGGAAGGCCCCCCACACUGGGACUGAGACACGGCCCAGACUCCUACGGGAGGCAGCAGUGAGGAAUAUUGGACAAUGGAUGGAAAUCUGAUCCAGCCAUGCCGCGUGCAGGAAGACAGCCCUAUGGGUUGUAAACUGCUUUUAUAUGGGAGCAAUAAGGUCUAUGCGUAGACUGAUGAGAGUACCAUACGAAUAAGCAUCGGCUAACUCCGUG